GGAUGUAUAGCUCAGUUGGUUAGAGCAUUUGACUUCUAAUCAAAGAGUCUUGGGUUCAAUUCCCAAUACAUUC
rnacentral:tRNA from 1 species